UACAGAGGGUGCGAGCGUUAAUCGGAAUUACUGGGCGUAAAGCGUGCGUAGACGGCUAUCUAAGUCGGGUGUGAAAGCCCCGGGGCUCAACCUGGGAAUUGCAUUCGAGACUGAAUAGCUAGGGUACGGUAGAGGGAAGUGGAAUUUCCGGUGUAGCGGUGAAAUGCGUAGAUAUCGGAAGGAACAUCAGUGGCGAAAGCGAGGCCCUGGACCCUUACUGACGCUGAGACGCGAAAGCCAGAGGAGCGAACGGGG
rnacentral:rRNA from 1 species